rnacentral:rRNA from 1 species
AACGAACGCUGGCGGCAUGCCUAACACAUGCAAGUCGAACGAGACCUUCGGGUCUAGUGGCGCACGGGUGCGUAACGCGUGGGAACCUGCCCUUAGGUUCGGAAUAACUCCCCGAAAGGGGUGCUAAUACCGGAUAAUGUCUUCGGACCAAAGAUUUAUCGCCUUUGGAUGGGCCCGCGUUGGAUUAGCUAGUUGGUAGGGUAAAAGCCUACCAAGGCGACGAUCCAUAGCUGGUCUGAGAGGAUGAUCAGCCACACUGGGACUGAGACACGGCCCAGACUCCUCCGGGAGGCAGCAGUGGGGAAUAUUGGACAAUGGGCGAAGCCUGAUCCAGCAAUGCCGCGUGAGUGAUGAAGGCCUUAGGGUUGUAAAGCUCUUUUACCCGGGAUGAUAAUGACAGUACCGGGAGAAUAAGCUCCGGCUAACUCCGUG